GACGAACGCUGGCGGCGUGCUUAACACAUGCAAGUCGAACGAAGAGCGAUGGAAGCUUGCUUCUAUCAAUCUUAGUGGCGAACGGGUGAGUAACGCGUAAUCAACCUGCCCUUCAGAGGGGGACAACAGUUGGAAACGACUGCUAAUACCGCAUACGAUCCAAUCUCGGCAUCGGGACUGGAUGAAAGGUGGCCUCUAUUUAUAAGCUAUCACUGAAGGAGGGGAUUGCGUCUGAUUAGCUAGUUGGAGGGGUAACGGCCCACCAAGGCGAUGAUCAGUAGCCGGUCUGAGAGGAUGAACGGCCACAUUGGGACUGAGACACGGCCCAGACUCCUACGGGAGGCAGCAGUGGGGAAUCUUCCGCAAUGGACGAAAGUCUGACGGAGCAACGCCGCGUGAGUGAUGACGGCCUUCGGGUUGUAAAGCUCUGUUAAUCGGGACGAAUGGUUCUUGUGCGAAUAGUGCGAGGAUUUGACGGUACCGGAAGAGAAAGCCACGGCUAACUACGUG
rnacentral:rRNA from 1 species